GACGAACGCUGGCGGCGUGCCUAAUACAUGCAAGUCGAACGCAGUGGGUACGGGUGAGUAACACGUGGUUAACCUCCCAUCAGAGGGGAUAACACUUGGAAACAGGUGCUAAACCUAUAUUGAUGGAUGGACCCGCGUGGCAUUAGCUAGUUGGUGAGGUAACGGCUCACCAAGGCUACGAUGCAUAGCCGGCCGGAGAGGGUUGUCACCCCCACUGGGACUGAGACACGGCCCAUACUCCACCUUGACGCAUCAAUAUCAAAUAUUCGGCAGUUGACGAAAGUCUGACCGAGCAAUGCCGCGUGAGUGAAGAAUAUUUUCGGAUCUUAAAACUCUGUUGUUAGAGAAGCGGUAUCUAACCAGAAAGCCACGGCUAACUACGUGCCAGCAGCCGCGGUAAUAC
rnacentral:rRNA from 1 species